rnacentral:rRNA from 1 species
GACGAACGCUGGCGGCGUGCUUAACACAUGCAAGUCGAACGGUAAGGCUCCAGCUUGCUGGGGUACACGAGUGGCGAACGGGUGAGUAACACGUGGGUGACCUGCCCUGCACUUCGGGAUAAGCCUGGGAAACUGGGUCUAAUACCGGAUAGGACCGCACCGUGAGGGUGUGGUGGAAAGUUUUUUCGGUGUGGGAUGGGCCCGCGGCCUAUCAGCUUGUUGGCGGGGUAAUGGCCUACCAAGGCGGCGACGGGUAGCCGGCCUGAGAGGGUGGACGGCCACAUUGGGACUGAGACACGGCCCAGACUCCUACGGGAGGCAGCAGUGGGGAAUAUUGCACAAUGGGCGGAAGCCUGAUGCAGCGACGCCGCGUGGGGGAUGACGGCCUUCGGGUUGUAAACUCCUUUCACCAUCGACGAAGGGUUUCUGACGGUAGAUGGAGAAGAAGCACCGGCUAACUACGUG